AACGAACGCUGGCGGCAUGCCUAACACAUGCAAGUCGAACGAGACCUUCGGGUCUAGUGGCGCACGGGUGCGUAACACGUGGGAAUUUGCCUCGGGGUAUGGAAUAACUCAGGGAAACUUGAGCUAAUACCAUAUAAUGUCUUCGGACCAAAGAUUUAUCGCCCUGAGAUAAGCCCGCGUAGGAUUAGCUAGUUGGUGGGUAAAGGCUCACCAAGGCGACGAUCCUUAGCUGGUCUGAGAGGAUGAUCAGCCACACUGGGACUGAGACACGGCCCAGACUCCUACGGAGGCAGCAGUGGGGAAUAUUGGACAAAUGGGCGAAAGCCUGAUCCAGCAAUGCCGCGUGAGUGAUGAAGGCCU
rnacentral:rRNA from 1 species